rnacentral:rRNA from 1 species
GAUGAACGCUAGCUACAGGCUUAACACAUGCAAGUCGAGGGACCGGCGCACGGGUGAGUAACACGUAUCCAACCUGCCCUUUAAUCGGGGUUAGAGUUACGAAAGAAAGAUUAAUAACAGAUAUAAAGGCUGGGGAUGCGUUCCAUUAGGUUGGUGGUGAGGUAACGGCUCACCAAGCUUCCGAUGGAGAGGGGUUAGGAGAGGAAGGUCCACCGUAUUGGAGAUUAGCCCCGGUCCAAACUCGUACGGGGGGCAGCAGUGAAGAGUAUUGGUCGAUCAGUGCUAACCUGAACCAGCCAAUUAGCGUGAAGGAUUCAGGCUUAUGAGUCGUAAACUUCUUUUAUAUAAGACUAUGUAUUAUAUGAAUAAGGAUCGGCUAACUCCGUGCCAGCAGCCGCGGUAAUUC